rnacentral:rRNA from 1 species
UCGGGGCGCAGCAGGCGCGAAACCUUUACAAUGCGGGCAACCGUGAUAAGGGAACCUCGAGUGCCUGUAAACGCAGGCUGUUCAGGUGUUUAAAACGCACCUGGAGAAAGGGCCGGGCAAGACCGGUGCCAGCCGCCGCGGUAAUACCGGCGGCUCGAGUGGUGGCCGCUUUUAUUGGGCUUAAAGCGUUCGUAGCUGGGUUGUUAAGUCUCCUGGGAAAUCUGGCGGCUUAACCGUCAGGCGUCUAAGGGAUACUGGCAAUCUUGGAACCGGGAGAGGUGAGGGGUACUUCGGGGGUAGGGGUGAAAUCCUGUAAUCCUCGAGGGACCACCUGUGGCGAAGGCGCCUCACCAGAACGGCUUCGACAGUGAGGGACGGAAGCUGGGGGAGCAAACCGGAUUAGAUACCCGGGUAGUCCCAGCCGUAAACGAUGCGCGUUAGGUGUAUCGGUGACCACGAGUUACCGAGGUGCCGAAGGGAAACCGUGAAACGCGCCGCCUGGGAAGUACGGUCGCAAGGCUGAAACUUAAAGGAAUUGGCGGGGGAGCAC